UUAAGCAUAUCAAUAAGCGGAGGAAAAGAAACCAACAGGGAUUGCCCCAGUAACGGCGAGUGAAGCGGCAACAGCUCAAAUUUGAAAUCUGGCCCCCCAGGGCCCGAGUUGUAAUUUGCAGAGGAUGCUUUUGGCGCGGCGCCUUCCGAGUUCCCUGGAACGGGACGCCAUAGAGGGUGAGAGCCCCGUCUGGUCGGACGCCUAGCCUGUGUAAAGCUCCUUCGACGAGUCGAGUAGUUUGGGAAUGCUGCUCUAAAUGGGAGGUAUAUGUCUUCUAAAGCUAAAUACCGGCCAGAGACCGAUAGCGCACAAGUAGAGUGAUCGAAAGAUGAAAAGCACUUUGAAAAGAGGGUUAAACAGUACGUGAAAUUGUUGAAAGGGAAGCGCUUGUGACCAGACUUGGGCCCGGUGGAUCAUCCAGCGUUCUCGCUGGUGCACUCCGCCGGGUCCAGGCCAGCAUCAGUUCGCCGCGGGGGAGAAAGGCUUCGGGAACGUGGCUCCUACGGGAGUGUUAUAGCCCGUUGCACAAUACCCUGGGGCGGACUGAGGUUCGCGCUCCGCAAGGAUGCUGGCGUAAUGGUCAUCAGCGAC
rnacentral:rRNA from 1 species